UUGUUGGUUCCUCACUAGUUAAGGUCAUUGCCUCCUAGUUGAGGUCAGGGGUUUGAUUCUUGCUCCCAACAUAUUUAAAAUAUUUAGCUCUUGUAUAAGUGAUAUAAAUACUAACUCAAAGUAAGAAACUUGUCGGUACUUUAGUAGUUAAGGUCGUUGCCUCCUAAGUAGAUCUCUUAGUUGUUAAUAGAUAUUUAAAAUAGUUAGAUCUUGUAUAAGUAAUAUAAAUCCUAACUCACAGCAACAAUAUAAAUCCUGUAUGUCUUGAACUAAGUGUCUUACUUUGUAUGGAUCGUCUAUUCUUCAACACUUUUUAAGCCUAAGUACAAAGUUCUAAUUUUAACUUCUCUUAAGUUUCAGUAGUGUAUUGAUUUUGAGAUGAAAGGCUAUUGUGAUUAGGCCUUUCUAUUCUAAUAAACAUAUUAGUCAAGGCUAGUAAUAAAUCAUGUACUAAUCAUAUGUAUUAAUGAGAAAGUCAUUUUAGUGGUAUAUUCAUGCUUAUGAAUAUGGUUCCCUUUUUGUUUUGUAUUUUGCAGAAAGUAAAUGAUGUAAUAGGUGAAAUUACAAUUUUAAGAAGACUUGAUCAUAACAACGUGAUUCCUUUGAAGGAGAUUGUAACUUCUUCAGGAUUGUUAAGGAACUGCAUAUAAGAACAUACGUUCUAGAAGCUCAAAGGUGCUACUAAAGGGAAUGGAUUACAACGAACUUGAAAAAUGGGUUAAGUCGCGUGGUUAUAGGUCUAGAUGGGCUCUACUGUUGUGGAAGCGCCUAUAUGGAAAUGACAUUUGGGCACAUAGUAGUGAUGAAUUGGAAGGUCUUGGAUGCGGAUAAAGGAGAUAGACUAGAAAGCUCAGUUGGAACAAUUACAACACGUGACAUCGUGCAAUCCACUUGAAAAUCAGAUAAUCUAAUCAUUACAUUAACAGAGGGGCUGGGACUGGCAUUGAAAUCUAGAUCAGAUCAGUCCAUUGGCUCAAUCCAAUUAUCAAUUGGACCACCCAAUGAAUUGUUGAGUGGGCCACAUGAUUAGUUGGUUCAAUCCAAUUAUCAAUUGGGCCACCUCUAUCCAUAGAAUGGAUAGCUUAAAGACACCUAUUAACAGUUUGGUGUUCCCAUUUAACAAGCAUGACCUGACUUCAUGUUUUAAUAAUCCAAAUUGUUAUACGAGUCGAUGUUCGAUGGGUCGGGUGGAUGGUGAGAGAAACCUUGGCUUUCUCAGCCAGAUGUCAAGGAGUUGGGACUCGCUAUGGUAAGUAAUAGUGAAUGGUUUCAGAUAGAAAAUUUGAAUGGAAGUCGGGACUCACUUUCUCA